rnacentral:lncRNA from 1 species
GUCUCCCACUAGUGCCCUCCGCUGGCUGAACCCAGCUGGAAACCAGCCAUCACAGGUCUUGUUGAGUGGAAAAGAGUCUAAAGAAGUACCAGGAAACCUUCUGAGAGACUAGCUGGGAUUCUACAGGGGCCCGGGGAACCAGGAUGGGGGCCACGGAUAAGCAGAUGGCCAAGGACACGGG